rnacentral:lncRNA from 1 species
CUCGAAUAUUCUUGCUCGGUUUGGGACCCCCACACUUCAGAAUCUAUCUCGAAGAUAGAGAUGGUCCAAAGGAGAGCUGCUCGGUAUGCCUGCAACAGGUAUCAUAAUACUAGCAGUGUAUCAAACAUGCUGAACACACUCAACUGGCCUCUUUAACAGAACGCAGACUGCGUGCACGCCUGGUUAAUUAUGAUGUACAAGAUCACACAUUAUCGUUGUUGCUAUACCAUCUAGCACAAUUCUCAUUCCAUCAGUCUAGAGAACCAGAAAACAUCAUUCUCACAGACUCACACCUUCAGACACAUUUGAAUUAUACAUGAAAAGACUAGUACAGAUUUUCAUUUUCCCCAUACACAAUAACUCUAUUCUACUGUUCUAUUCUAUUCUACCAUUUAGUGACCGCCUUCAACAAAUUGAAGAUUAUGUCACAGGAGGAAACUCAGGCGCGC